rnacentral:rRNA from 1 species
UACGGAGGGUGCAAGCGUUGUCCGGAUUUAUUGGGCUUAAAGGGUGCGCAGGCGGCCCGUUAAGUCAGCGGUGAAAGACUGCGGCUCAACCGCAGCAUUGCCGUUGAUACUGACGGGCUUGAGUGAACAUGAGGCAGGCGGAAUUGACGGUGUAGCGGUGAAAUGCUUAGAUACCGUCAGGAACACCGAUUGCGAAGGCAGCUUGCUAAAGUUCUACUGACGCUCAUGCACGAAAGCACGGGUAGCGAACGGG